GACGAACGCUGGCGGCGUGCUUAACACAUGCAAGUCGAACGGAAAGGCCCUGCUUUUGUUGGGUGCUCGAGUGGCGAACGGGUGAGUAACACGUGAGUAACCUGCCCUUGAAUUUGGGAUAACUUCAGGAAACUGGGGCUAAUACCGGAUAGAAGCUCCUGCUGCAUGGGGGGGGUUGGAAAUUUUCGGCGGUUGGGGAUGGACUCGCGGCUUAUCAGCUUGUUGGGGGGGUAGUGGCUUACCAAGGCUUUGACGGGUAGCCGGCCUGAGAGGGUGACCGGCCACAUUGGGACUGAGAGACGGCCCAGACUGCUACGGGAGGCAGCAGUGGGGAAUAUUGCACAAUGGGCGGAAGGCUGAUGCAGCAACGCCGCGUGCGGGAUGACGGCCUUCGGGUUGUAAACCGCUUUCGCCUGUGACGAAGCGUGAGUGACGGUAAUGGGUAAAGAAGCACCGGCUAACUACGUG
rnacentral:rRNA from 1 species